AACACAUGCAAGUCGAGGGCAGCAUGGUCUAGCUGCUAAGACCGAUGGCGACCGGCGCACGGGUGAGUAACGCGUAUCCAACCUCCCCCACAGUAGCGGAUAGCCCGGCGAAAGUCGGAGUUAAUACGCUAUGAGGUGCAGUAUUGGCAUCAUGGCCGCACGAAAGAUUUAUCGCUGUGGGAUGGGGAUGCGUCUGAUUAGCUUGUCGCGGGGUAACGGCCCACCGAGGCGACGAUCAGUAGGGGUUCUGAGAGGAAGGUCCCCCACAUUGGUACUGAGACACGGACCAAACUCCUACGGGAGGCAGCAGUGAGGAAUAUUGGUCAAUGGCCGGAAGGCUGAACCAGACCCAAGUAGCGUGCAGGACGACGGCCCUACGGGUUGUAAACUGCUUUUAGUAGGGGAAUAAAGUGUGGUACGUGUACCUUUUUGUAGGUACCGCAUGAAUAAGGACCGGCUAAUUCCGUGCCAGCCGCCGC
rnacentral:rRNA from 1 species